rnacentral:rRNA from 1 species
AGUAAAAGUCGUAACAAGGUUUCCGUAGGUGAACCUGCGGAAGGAUCAUUAUUGAAACAAAAUCUAAAAGCAGAAAGUCUGGAUUCUCAUCACUGAGGUUCAUUCUCUUCUCUUUUUCCACCCCUUGUGCAUUCGUAAAAAACAAACGCCUUCCCUGAUCUCGAUCAGGGGACGAUAAAAAAACUACUUUUUAAUUUACAUCCACUUGAUGUUUAUACUUUAAAAAUCAUAACAAAACUUUCAACAACGGAUCUCUUGGCUUGCCCAUCGAUGAAGGACGCAGCGAAAUGCGAUAACCAGUGUGAAUUGCAGAUUACGUGAAUCAUCGAGUCUCUGAACGCAAAUUGCGCUUCAUGGCAUUCCAUGGAGCAUACCUGUUUGAGUCUCGCUUUAUCUCCUUUCUCCAAUUUUGUGAGAAGACAUGCACCUUUCUUUUCUGCACACUGCGGAAAAAGGUGUUAAAAAGCAAACCUUUUUAAAAUCACAUGUUUUUGAUAAGACGACUGUUUGAUUUUGAGGAAAAUAGUGUGCCUACCAUACCCAUUUUCUCUCGAACAAAUGUGUCUGUUCUUCCUGUUUGCACUGCAAACGCAGAAUCAUGAACUUUUGAGCUCAAAUCAGGCAGGACUACCCGCUGAACUUAGGCAUAUCAAUAAGCGGAGGA